AUUGUCUCCACAUCUUGGCUCUUGUGAAUACUGCUGCAAUGAACAUGGGGAUCCAACAAUAAGAAAAAUAAUCGAGUGUUGACCACAUUCAAGAUUAAGCAAACGACACGGAGAGUGGAGUCUCACCUUAGGCUCCCUGGAGCCAAGGGCCACACCUCAUCAGCAUCAGAUGUUGGAACUGGAAGAGAUCUCACAAGGAUUUGUCCCAGCAGACUGGGGAGACGGAGGACACUGCACGUGAAUUCGAGGAGCAUCAAGGUUGGGGGCAAACAGGCUGUAGCUGCUGAUGUAAUGUGACCUGGUGAGUGAGCCUGGCCCGACCCCAUCCCUGAGCUCUGCCACAGCUGCGCCCCGCCUGGAGGUCCCCACCCCGCCUACCUGCCUGGCUCACACUUGGACACCUUUCUCCACCAAGUUCAAGACUCACCCCUAUUAUGAUCAUUUUUUAUAAUCCACUUUCCUCCUGGCAAAAUGGGCCAUUCCCUUUUGGACACUAUACGUCUAUCACAGCAUAUACUUCUUAUUUUAUAUACCUCUUGAUAUAUGUACGUCUCCCUGCAUCUCCCUGCU